UACGGAGGGUGCAAGCGUUAAUCGGAAUUACUGGGCGUAAAGCGCACGCAGGCGGUUUGUUAAGUCAGAUGUGAAAUCCCCGGGCUCAACCUGGGAACUGCAUCUGAUACUGGCAAGCUUGAGUCUCGUAGAGGGGGGUAGAAUUCCAGGUGUAGCAGUGAAAUGCGUAGAGAUCUGGAGGAAUACCGGUGGCGAAGGCGGCCCCCUGGACGAAGACUGACGCUCAGGUGCGAAAGCGUGGGGAGCAAACAGGAUUAGAUACCCUGGUAGUCCACGCCGUAAACGAUGUCGACUUGGAGGUUGUGCCCUUGAGGCGUGGCUUCCGGAGCUAACGCGUUAAGUCGACCGCCUGGGGAGUACGGCCGCAAGGUUAAAACUC
rnacentral:rRNA from 1 species